GUGGAUUAGAUACCCUGGUCGUCCACGCUGUAAACGAUGUCGAUUUGGAGGUUGUGCCCUUGAGGCGUGGCUUCCGGAGCUAACGCGUUAAAUCGACCGCCUGGGGAGUACGGCCGCAAGGUUAAAACUCAAAUGAAUUGACGGGGGCCCGCACAAGCGGUGGAGCAUGUGGUUUAAUUCGAUGCAACGCGAAGAACCUUACCUACUCUUGACAUCCAGAGAACUUUCCAGAGAUGGAUUGGUGCCUUCGGGAACUCUGAGACAGGUGCUGCACGGCCGUCGUCAGCU
rnacentral:rRNA from 1 species